rnacentral:lncRNA from 1 species
GUGUCACACCAGAUAAGCGGUUGUGUGUCCGCUUUUGUUAUAUAGGGCAGGAUAGAAUGCAUGUCGGGUAAAGGAAGUCCCCAAGGUUUACAUGGCAGCAGAAGGGACUGGUGUAUCCUUAUAGACACUUUUCUAUGAACUCUUCAAAAAUGGUCACAGAAUGCCUUUUAAAAUACUGUAUAUAGUCUUCACUGCUUCACCUUGUUAAGUCAGAUAUUUAUGAUAAUGAAGUACGGAACUGGGAACUGGGGUCGUUGUUGACUAAUUGGUCCUAAGAGGAUAAAUUAUGUAACUGAUUUGCCCAGCUGAAUCAGGACUGCAAAUGCCAGGCUUUCCUUGGCCAUGUAUCUAAAAUCCCAUAAACUCCUCCCUUUGGGAGGCUGGCAAAAAAGGGGCUGUGCUCUCCCUGGUUAAGCAGUUUGUACUACAGAACCCCCGAGCUGCUGUGGGUCCUACAGGUGCUUCCAUGCUCUGGUUAGACUGUCCUGUCUGAGGACACAGCCAGUUUCUUCAGCACCUCCACAAACUGCACCCCGUCUCUGUCCAUGCACCUCGAUUCACGGCGAGACAUUUAGCCACCACUCUCUGCGUAUUGAUGGCAUGAUACGGUAUUGUCCUCGUAUAGAGUUAACAACUUACGAUAAAUUGCCCAAAGCUGGGCCUUGCUGUGUGUGCUCUGGACACUGUACAUUUGUACCCAACCAAGUGGGUCAAGUCGGAGAGGGACUCUUCAGUAUGGAGGCAGCCUGUGGAGUGCAGCGCCUUUGAGGCUCUGGGUGUAAGACAGUUUCCUUCCCUGACUCUCGUGCACAGACAGCAUGCAGCAUACAGACUGAAACUGUGCUCUGCCGAGUAGAAAGUAGGUAGGGUCUGAAGGUGUCGAGAAGGCCUUACCUGUGGUGUGACAGAUUGAAUUGAUUGUUUACACUGGGGACUGUAUCUCGGAUCUUUAAAUAGAGGAAUCACAAACAGACUUAAGGACAGAUGCUGAGAUUGCUUUUUGUAAACUCGUUUAAGCGAGUGAGUGAGUUGAGUUACCUGAACUCUGUAGCACUGGUUGUUCAUAGUGAUGAAGGACAGCACUGCAGACAUCUCCCUUGCCAUCUCUAGCCUGCUGUGGAAGGAAACAACGUGACUCAAGAUGAAGCUGUUUGUAUGUAUCCUUAUCAAAUAUAUUCUAUAAGG